UACGAAGGGAGCUAGCGUUGUUCGGAAUCACUGGGCGUAAAGCGCACGUAGGCGGAUGUGUCAGUCAGGGGGUGAAAUCCCGGAGCUCAACUUCGGAACUGCCUUUGAUACAGCACGUCUUGAGUCCGGAAGAGGUGGGUGGAAUUCCGUAGUGUAAGAGGUGAAAUUCGUAGAUAUUAGGAAGAACACCGGGUGGCGAAAGGCGGCCCACUGGUCCGGUACUGACGCUGAGGUGCGAAAGCGUGGGGAGCAAACAGG
rnacentral:rRNA from 1 species